AAUAAACUUAUGCUGAAUCCUUUUAUAGGUACGGAGGAACCAAAAUGUUGGGGUUAAUCUGUUUUAUCAGUAGGGAACCUUCACCCGAACCCGUCAGCUAACUCCGGAAGCAAGAAGGGGGGAUGA
rnacentral:sRNA from 2 species